rnacentral:rRNA from 1 species
GAUGAACGCUGGCGGCGUGCCUAAUACAUGCAAGUCGAGCGAACGGACGAGAAGCUUGCUUUUCUGAUGUUAGCGGCGGACGGGUGAGUAACACGUGGAUAACCUACCUAUAAGACUGGGAUAACUUCGGGAAACCGGAGCUAAUACCGGAUAAUAUUUUGAACCGCAUGGUUCAAAAGUGAAAGACGGUCUUGCUGUCACUUAUAGAUGGAUCCGCGCUACAUUAGCUAGUUGGUAAGGUAACGGCUUACCAAGGCAACGAUGCAUAGCCGACCUGAGAGGGUGAUCGGCCACACUGGAACUGAGACACGGUCCAGACUCCUACGGGAGGCAGCAGUAGGGAAUCUUCCGCAAUGGGCGAAAGCCUGACGGAGCAACGCCGCGUGAGUGAUGAAGGUCUUCGGAUCGUAAAACUCUGUUAUUAGGGAAGAACAUAUGUGUAAGUAACUGUGCACAUCUUGACGGUACCUAAUCAGAAAGCCACGGCUAACUACGUG